ensembl:snoRNA
GGGGUGUGCUCAGAGCAGGGGGCCUGAAGAAUGGCUCCUCUGAUUAUAACACACCCAACAGGAAUCUGGGGGAAAUUGUGAUGAGGGGCCCACAAAACUUGUGACCUCCCUAUGAACAAAUGCCCUACAUGU